rnacentral:rRNA from 1 species
UACGUAAGGGGCAAGCGUUGUCCGGAAUCACUGGGCGUAAAGCGCACGUAGGCGGUUUAGCAAGUUGGGGGUGUAAGCUCUAGGCUUAACCUAGAAAUUGCCUCCAAAACUACUUCACUUGAGUAUUAGAGGGGAAGCUGGAAUUCACGGUGUAGCGGUGAAAUGCGUAGAUAUCGUGGAGAACACCCGUGGCGAAGGCGGGCUCUGGCUAAUUACUGACGCUGA